AGCACAGGAGUCAGCCUGCUCUGAUUUGCUAGUGAUGUCCUAACCAAUCUCCCUGAAAAAUUAUCUGUGAAAUUUAUUUCUAUACAUCCAACAAGCACAAUGAACUCUAGGUAGAAUAAAUUCAGUGAGGUCCACAUCAAGAACAUUGUAAUCAAACUGUUGAAUGUCAAAGACAGAGAAUCUUGAAAGCAACAAGAAAGAAUCAACUAUCAUGUACAAGGGAACCUUAGUAAGAUGAACAGUUGGCUAUUUAUCAGGAACUAUGGAAGCCAGAAAACAGUGGGCAUAUUUAAAGUGCUGAAAGAAAAGAACCUAUCAACCAAGAAUUCUGUAUCUGGCAAAAUUGCCCUUCAAAAGUGAGGAAGAAAUUGAGAUAUUCCCAAUAAACAAAAGCUGAGGGGUUCACUACAAGUAGACCUGCCCUGCAAGAAAUGCUACAAGAUGUCCUCAAGUUGAAAUGAAAGGACACUAAAUGGUAACUUGAAGCUGUAUGAAGAAAUAAAGGUCUACAGUAAAGGUAACUACAUGGG
rnacentral:lncRNA from 1 species